UGCAUUCCUUCCCAGACCUCAUUGAAGGGUUGACAGUGGAGGCAAGGGUAUUUUUUUUUUUGGAGAUCUUCAUGUGCAUGAGGACUUGUGAAGUGGCAGAAUCCAGCCUCCUGAAUACACCUGUCCUUCUAUCAGCAGUUAUGGAUCUAACCCUUAUGACCACCAGCACUGCUCCUGCCUCAAUUCUCAACCAAAAAAAAAAUUACGAGUUGUUCUUCCCCAUUUAACGUGGCUGUUUGGAGAGAAAGUACAAGAGAAGUCUUGAAAUCUUGCAAACAGGCACUCCCUUUCAUCUGCAUGAUAAUGAUUUUGCCUCAUGACUUCAAGAAGUGUCUGUGGGUGGAAACAGUGAGUGAUAUAUUCAUAUAAUGAGGCUCUAAAUGACUACAAAAGACUUUACAUCGCUGUGAAUCAUCCAUCUGCAGUGCUGCAUUAUUCAGAAAUUAAUGCAACCCUAUAAAUGAAUAAUGAUUUAAAUGUACUUUUAAAAAUUGUUAAUGCUCCAGCAUUUUUUCCUUCUCUACAUAAUCAGAAAAUUGAUUAUGACUAUGACUAGACCUAUGUUCUUCAUUUAAGUUAUGUAAUGGUAAUGUAAAAAAAUGUCCUGUGACAACAAUGAGAAUAGAAAGAGUUCUGGGAGACUAGCACUUGGUUUAUAAUUUUCAGAAUUCCUUAACUAAAUUCAGUUGAAUUCAGAGGGUAUUAGCACCAAAAAUCCUCCUAAAAGUCUGUAGGUUCUAAAGAAAAUUGAGUUAUUUCUGAAGUUAAUGAAAAUGAUCCAAAAUAUGAGAAUGUAUGUCAAAUAUCUCCGAAUAAUAUAUCCAUGGAAAAGUUUCUGCUUGCUUAUUUUUUUUUUUUCCUGUUAUCUUUUUUAUAAACCAAGUGAUGAACAGAAUCAUAAAAAAGGAGCCACAUGAGAAGCCGAAGUAACAUGAACUAAUUUCAUAAGCGUUAGUUUGAGGAUGAUGUCUCACAUAGAUUACGUGAUAAACAAAACAGGGUGAGUGCAACCAGAGCCUUUAUAACAGUGGGAUCUAUAAAAGUCCCACGUCUCUGCACGGAUUUUUAAUUUUAUAAAGCUAAUAGCAUUAUCUCUUUGUUAAAUUGAGACAAGAUUGGUAAAGAGAUUCCAAAGACAGGGAGUUACCAAAUGAGUAAAUUGAGACAAAAAGAUGGAGCUCACUGUCAUAUACACCUUCAGAAACCAGGAUGAAGGCAAUGUGAAGUUACAACAUUGCCCACCGUGUCCAGAAAGGAUGUUAGGGCACAGUAACUCAACUCGGCUCCCCAUCCUAGCCCUGCAAAGCUAAUUCUGUUACAAUAACUGCAAAUGUACAAUAACUGCAAAUGUACUGGGGUUUUUAGGAGGGUGUGACCAAGAGCAGAACUGGGUAUAUUCAUUUAUACAAACACCAAGAAAACAACAUGUGAGCAGUGUCCUUGGGCACAUGUUUUAAACCAUGUAUUAUAUAAACUAUAAAAUGCUUUUCUGGUCAAGUCAUAAAACCAAUUUUUAAGAAGAAGACGGAAGGAAAGAAUUUGUUUUCUUUGCAAUAAAACAAGUGUUAUCUACUAAUUCAUUUCACUAAGAUUGUUGAACAAAGUUUCUUUCCUGUGCAUAAAUGAAAGUAUGAAGGACGGACAGAUGUUCAGUGUUUUCAAUGAAACUGGAUACUUAAAAGAAUAUUUGGCCGCAGAAGAAGGGUUCAAUAAAGCCAUCUUCCGAUAGCAUUGUUUUAUAUCCUUUAAGUCCCUACUAAAUUACUGUAAAUUAUUGAUGCUGUAAAGUGCACGAACCCUGCUAAGGCUACAGUCAUUGAAGUCCCCUCUAUUAAAAUUGCUGCCACAUGAGCAGCAGAAUUGAAUUUGUAUCGAAGAUAUCCUAAAAUAUUGCUACCAGCCUAUCAGGCUACUACAACUUCCAAUUUCUUAGAGUUUGAUGAACUCUCUAGUAUAUACUUUUGUUAUUAUCUAAUUCUACCGAUAAACUGUGAUCCCAACAUUUUUCUCCACAGAUGAUUUACUAGGCUGAAAACAAUAUUGCCUGUCCUAAUUCAUUCUAGCCAGUGAAUCUUUAUCAAAGGAAUUCAUGAACGCUGGGACUGUGCUGUUAGCUCAGCCUUUCCUACAAGACCACCCUGAAAUGCAAAUCAUUUUCAGAGGAACACAAAGGGCUCUGCCCAACGUUCGCAAUUCACCCACUCUUUCAGUUAUGAUGUCACACAGAUAACACCGCA